rnacentral:rRNA from 1 species
GAUGAACGCUAGCGGGAGGCCUAACACAUGCAAGCCGAGCGGUAUUGUUUCUUCGGAAAUGAGAGAGCGGCGUACGGGUGCGGAACACGUGUGCAACCUGCCUUUAUCUGGGGGAUAGCCUUUCGAAAGGAAGAUUAAUACUCCAUAACAUAUUGAACGGCAUCGUUUGAUAUUGAAAGCUCCGGAGGAUGGAGAUGGGCACGCGCAAGGUUAGCUCGUUGGUGAGGUAACGGCUCACCAAGGCGAUGAUCUUUAGGGGGCCUGAGAGGGUGAUCCCCCACACUGGUACUGAGACACGGACCAGACUCCUACGGGAGGCAGCAGUGAGGAAUAUUGGUCAAUGGGUGCAAGCCUGAACCAGCCAUCCCGCGUGAAGGACGACUGCCCUAUGGGUUGUAAACUUCUUUUGUAUAGGGAUAAACCUACCCUCGUGAGGGUAGCUGAAGGUACUAUACGAAUAAGCACCGGCUAACUCCGUGCCAGCAGCCGCCGUAAGAC